GCCAUGUAUACGAGCUGUACGGCCACCACUCUCCUAAAGCGGGUGCCGCAGGUUCGAAUCCUGCCGGGGGCA
rnacentral:tRNA from 1 species